rnacentral:rRNA from 1 species
GUCCAGGCCCUAAGGGGCGCAGCAACCGCGAAACCUCCACAAUGCACUCACGUGCGAUGGGGCUAUCUCGAGUGCCACCUGAUGAAGGUGGCUUUUCCUUGGUCUUCAAAGCCUUGGGAAUAAGAGGGGGGCAAGACUGGUGUCAGCCGCCGCGGUAACACCAGCCCCUCGAGUGGUGGGGAUGAUUAUUUGGCCUAAAGCGUCCGUAGCCGGCCGUGUAAGUCUCCCGUUAAAUCCAGCGUCUCAAGCGUUGGACUGCGGGAGAUACUGUACGGCUAGAGAGUGGGAGAGGUCAGCGGUAUUCUGGGGGUAGGGGCGAAAUCCUUUGAUCCCCGGAGGACCACCAGUGGCGAAGGCUGCUGACUAGAACACGUCUGACGGUCAGGGACGAAAGCUGGGGUAGCGAACCGGAUUAGAUACCCGGGUAGUCCCAGCCGUAAACGAUGCAUGCUAGGUGUUGGGUUGGCCACGCGCCACCCCAGUGCCGCAGGGAAGCCGUUAAGCAUGCCGCCUGGGAAGUACGAUCGCAAGAUUGAAACUUAA